CUUACGAGUAGGGCUACACACGUGCUACAAUGGCGCAUACAAAGAGAAGCGACCUCGCGAGAGCAAGCGGACCUCAUAAAGUGCGUCGUAGUCCGGAUCGGAGUCUGCAACUCGACUCCGUGAAGUCGGAAUCGCUAGUAAUCUGUGGAUCAGAAUGCCACGGUGAAUACGUUCCCGGGCCUUGUACACACCGCCCGUCACACCAUGGGAGUGGGUUGCAAAAGAAGUAGGUCAGCUUAACCUUCGGGAGGGCGCUUACCACUUUGUGAUUCAUGACUGGGGUGAAGUCGUAACAAGGUAACCCGUAGGGGAGCCUGCGGCUGGAUCACCUCCUUU
rnacentral:rRNA from 1 species